CGGGGUGAGUAAUGUCUGGGAAACUGCCUGAUGGAGGGGGAUAACUACUGGAAACGGUAGCUAAUACCGCAUAACGUCGCAAGACCAAAGUGGGGGACCUUUGGGCCUCAUGCCAUAAGAUGUGCCCAGAUGGGAUUAGCUAGUAGGUGGGGUAACGGCUCACCUAGGCGACGAUCCCUAGCUGGUCUGAGAGGAUGACCAGCCACACUGGAACUGAGACACGGUCCAG
rnacentral:rRNA from 1 species